AACGAACGCUGGCGGCAGGCUUAACACAUGCAGGUCGAGCGCAUCCUUCGGGGUGAGCGGCGGACGGGUGAGUAACGCGUGGGAACGUGCCCUCUUCUACGGAAUAGCCUCGGGAAACUGAGAGUAAUGCCGUAUACGCCCGCAAGGGGAAAGAUUUAUCGGAGGAGGAUCGGCCCGCGUUGGAUUAGGUAGUUGGUGGGGUAACGGCCUACCAAGCCGACGAUCCAUAGCUGGUUUGAGAGGAUGAUCAGCCACACUGGGACUGAGACACGGCCCAGACUCCUACGGGAGGCAGCAGUGGGGAAUCUUGGACAAUGGGGGCAACCCUGAUCCAGCCAUGCCGCGUGAUCGAUGAAGGCCUUAGGGUUGUAAAGAUCUUUCAGCUGGGAAGAUAAUGACGGUACCAGCAGAAGAAGCCCCGGCUAACUCCGUG
rnacentral:rRNA from 1 species